AAGGAGGGACUACAGUAUAUCACUUCCUAUGCUGGAGUAAUUGCAAGUGAACCACAGACCAUAUGACAUGAGGAAAUUGCAGAGAGAAAAAAUGAAGAUGCUCAGCUCCCAGUGCCCUGAGGAAGAGAAGCUGUCUGUGUGUGAAGGCCCCACAGCUGACAGGAAGAGUCACCAGAUUGUUAUUCAGCCGCAGGAUGUCCUGGCCUCCUAAGACCUUGCCCCUGUCCCCACAGCUUGCCGCCAAGGAGCCUUUAACUGCCAAGGACACAGAGACAGUAAUUCUCUAAUCUGGUCUUCCACAGAAUGUAGCAGAGUAUUGAAUGAGGCAUUCUCUCUACAUUUCACCACAGGAGCCACAAUAGCUAUGGAGUAAGUAAUAAAGCCAACAUGUGUUGAGCACUUAUGCUAUGCCAGGCAGUGUUUUACCUGCGAAAUGACUCAUAAAAUUAACUCGCUGCAUCCUUUCUACAUUCCUGUGAGGUAGAUUUUAUUAUCAUCCUCAUUGUAUACUUGAGACAGUGAAGCACAGAGAGGUUA
rnacentral:lncRNA from 1 species